ACCCUAACUGAAGAUACAGAUUGUAACCUGAAACCAUAUUGGAAAGUCUCUUUUAAGAUGACUCAGGGCUGGAGGCCAGAGGAGGCAGGAGUCACCUCACUUCCCACACAGCAAGGGCAAUCUUUAAAGGCAGUAAGGUGUGACGCUUCAGACUGGCAGCUUGGCAAGUCGCGGCCCAUGGAUACCAGCACACGGGAAUCUGGACGGCGCGCUCUGACAGCAGUCAGCACUGGGAACAAAAGGA